rnacentral:rRNA from 1 species
AAACGAAGGUGGCUAGCGUUGCUCGGAAUCACUGGGCUUAAAGCGCCCGUAGGCGGCCGCGCAAGUCAGGUGUGAAAUCCCACGGCUCAACCGUGGAACUGCGCUUGAUACUGCGCGGCUAGAGCGCGGUAGGGGGGAGUGGAACUCUCGGUGUAGCGGUGAAAUGCGUAGAUAUCGAGAGGAACGCCGGUGGCGAAAGCGACUCCCUGGUCCGCUGCUGACGCUGAGGGGCGAAAGCUGGGGGAGCAAACAGGAUUAGAUACCCUAGUAGUCC